rnacentral:rRNA from 1 species
CACGGACCGCACGAACGUUAUUCGGUAUCACUGGGCUUAAAGGGUGCGUAGGCGGCUAUGCAAGUCGGAUGUGAAAGCCCUCGGCUCAACCGGGGAAGUGCACCCGAAACUGCAAAGCUAGAGUCUCGGAGAGGAUCGUGGAAUUCUCGGUGUAGAGGUGAAAAUUCGUAGAUAUCGAGAGGAACGCCGGUGGCGAAGGCGGCGUCUGGACGAUGACUGACGCUGAGACGCGAAAGCGUGGGGAGCAAACAGG